UACGUAGGGUGCGAGCGUUAAUCGGAAUUACUGGGCGUAAAGCGUGCGCAGGCGGUUUUGUAAGCCAGAUGUGAAAUCCCCGGGCUUAACCUGGGAAUGGCAUUUGGGACUGCAAGGCUCGAGUGCGGCAGAGGAGACUGGAAUUCCUGGUGUAGCAGUGAAAUGCGUAGAUAUCAGGAGGAACACCGGUGGCGAAGGCGGGUCUCUGGGCCGUAACUGACGCUGAGGAGCGAAAGCAUGGGGAGCGAACAGGAUUAGAUACCCGUAGU
rnacentral:rRNA from 1 species